CAUGAGGUUCCACUUUCAGCUUGGGUUUCACUCGCUAAGAAAUAAUCGAACUUCUGAUCCUAUAAACUCAUAGACAAUUUAAAAGGAGAAGCAUGUUACGCAUCGCUGGCUGGGCCAGCAUCUAUUGCCCAUCCCUAAUUGCCCAGAGGAGAGUUGAGAGUCAACCCCUUUGCUGUGGGUCUGGAGUCACACGUCGGCCAGACCAGCGGACAGCUGGAACUGACAACCCGAAGCGGCAGAGACAAACCACUAUAAAUGUCAGAGGAAACAUCACAGAAGCGCUUCACAGGAGGCUCCCAAGCACUGAGGAUGUCACCUAGACAGGGGACGGAACGUCGGCAACACAAAUUCCCAGCUCGGCGAACAGAACCACAACAAUGAGCACCCGAGCUACAAAUCUUCUCCCAAACUUUGAACUCCAAAGUCUCUCUGUGCCUCAGAUUUUCAAAGCCUUUCCCUGUUUAGAAAUUAGUCUAUGUCUCUAUUCUUCCUACCGACAGACUGUCCCACAUUAUAUUCCAUCUAUGGGCAUGCUCCUAGUCUAUCCAAUUUUUUCUGCAGUUUUCCCCUUUCCUCCACAUUACCUGUCCCUCCAUCUAUAUUAAUGGAACAGUUGAGUUUGACAAUUUUUUAGCUUCCAACUGUCACAAAGGGAUUUAACCUCACGUCCUCGGAUUUGUCGUGUGGUAAUAUAGCGAAUGCACUAUGUGUCUUGUCGACGGUGUAGAUAUUUUCUAAUCAACAUGUUCAUGGACAUAAUAUGCCUGUGGAGCAGGUGAGACUUGAACCUGGGUCUCCUGGUUCAGAGAUAGACACUAUUACUCAGCUACAAGAGCCCUUUGACAGGGUGUAGGUUUGGACAAAUGAUCACAACGUCAAUCUGUAUUGAAUGUUAAACAUAUUCCAGCCUCCAAGCAUAUUUAACCUGAUUGAUGUUUCUGAUGAAACACAAGAGAGUUCUUUCCUAAACUAAUCCUGCUGGUCUUACAGGGCGGAUGUUUGAGGUUCACAAUCUCCAAACAACUUUGAAAUCCUGAUGUUACUAUAUAAAAAUACUUUAACCAUUUAAGAAAAUAUACAAUCAAAG